CGGGAUAGCCUCGGGAAACCGAGGUUAAUACCGGAUACUCCAUAUUUGUCGCAUGGCGAAUAUGGGAAAAGCUCCGGCGGCAAAGGAUGGGCCCGCGGCCUGUUAGCUAGUUGGUGGGGUAGUGGCCUACCAAGGCAAUGAUGGGUAGCCGGGUUGAGAGACCGACCGGCCAGAUUGGGACUGAGACACGGCCCAGACUCCUACGGGAGGCAGCAGC
rnacentral:rRNA from 1 species